GUAGUCAUACGCUCGUCUCAAAGAUUAAGCCAUGCAUGUGUAAGUAUAAAUAUUUAACUUUGAAACUGCGAAUGGCUCAUUAUAUCAGUUAUAGUUUAUUUGAUGAAAAGUACUACUUGGAUAACCGUAGUAAUUCUAGAGCUAAUACAUGAUAAAAUCCUCGACUUUGAAGAGGUGUAUUUAUUAGAAUGAAACCAAUAGACUUCGGUCUGUUUGUGAGUAAUAAUAACUAAUCGUAUCGCAUGCUUAGGUAGCGAUAUGUCUUUCAAGUUUCUGCCCUAUCAGCUUUGGAUGGUAGUGUAUUGGACUACCAUGGCAGUAACGGGUAACGAAGAAUUUGGGUUCGAUUUCGGAGAGGGAGCCUGAGAGAUGGCUACCACAUCCAAGGAAGGCAGCAGGCGCGUAAAUUACCCAAUCCUGACAUAGGGAGGUAGUGACAAUAAAUCACAAUGCGGAACUAUUAGUUUUGCAAUUGGAUUGAGAACAAUGUACAAAUGUUAUCGAUAAACAAUUGGAGGGCAAGUCUGGUGCCAGCAGCCGCGGAAUCCAGCUCCAAAGCG
rnacentral:rRNA from 1 species